GUGAAUCAUCAAAUCUUUGAACGCAACUUGCACUCCCUUCGGAGAGUAUGCCUGUUUGAGGGUCAGCCUAAAAAAAAUCGACAUAGUUGAUGUUUCGCGGUGACAUUCGUCGGAAAUUGGGUCAUCUUCAACCUUUUGGAUUUAAGCGGAUAAACAUUUUCUUUACGAUUCCACGAUCGUAUCUAAGCUUUACUUUACAGUUUAUGGUAUUGA
rnacentral:misc_RNA from 1 species